AUGCCACUUCUGAUGCCAGACGGAGAGGCAAACUCAAGAUUCAGGCUUCCUAUGAUCCUGCUGAGGAUUUCCACAGUGGAAUGAAACUUGUUCUACCCCAGGAGGCAAAAAACAUUGACGCGAGGGCUGCUAUGGCGAAUAACCAGGUUAUUGAAGCCUCCCCCAGGGGAAUAUUGGAUUUCCUGAGCGGUAUCAGAGACAUUAUUGCAAACCUACUUGGACUGCAGAAAAAAGAAUAAAAUAAAACUCCUCCACUACAAGAGCAUAAACCUGAAGCUGACGGGGGACAGUAUGGAGCAGCGUGCGCCCUUCAAGACCCAUCCCACGGCCACUUUCCUCUCUACAGACUGAAAUUGGACAGGACUGCAGACACUCCGGC